rnacentral:tRNA from 1 species
GGAGAGGUGGCAGAGCGGCUGAUUGCACCGCGUUUUCGGAUGCGGCAUAGGCUCCACGUCUAUCGAGGGUUCGAAUCCCUUCCCUCUCCGCCA